rnacentral:rRNA from 1 species
AUUGAACGCUGGCGGAAUGCUUUACACAUGCAAGUCGAACGGCAGCACGGGGGCAACCCUGGUGGCGAGUGGCGAACGGGUGAGUAAUACAUCGGAACGUGCCCAGUCGUGGGGAUAACGUAGCGAAAGCUACGCUAAUACCGCAUACGAUCUAAGGAUGAAAGCGGGGGAUCGGAAGACCUCGCGCGAUUGGAGCGGCCGAUGGCAGAUUAGGUAGUUGGUGGGGUAAAGGCUCACCAAGCCGACGAUCUGUAGCUGGUCUGAGAGGACGACCAGCCACACUGGGACUGAGACACGGCCCAGACUCCUACGGGAGGCAGCAGUGGGGAAUUUUGGACAAUGGGCGCAAGCCUGAUCCAGCCAUUCCGCGUGCAGGAUGAAGGCCCUCGGGUUGUAAACUGCUUUUGUACGGAACGAAACGGCUCUCUCUAAUACAGGGGGCUAAUGACGGUACCGUAAGAAUAAGCACCGGCUAAUUACGUGCCAGCCGCCGCCGUAA